rnacentral:lncRNA from 1 species
AUGAUGGGGUUCCUCCUGUCUCUGUCUCUGACAGUAAUGGGGAUGCUUUUCCUAAUGAUAGUGCCAAAGACACUGUUUCAGAAGCUGUUGUUACUGAUUCCGGGGCUGAACAGAAUGAUGGUGUUCCUGUCUCUGUCUCUGAUAGUAACGGGAAUUGUUUACCUGCUGAUAGUGUGGAAGAUACUGUUUCAGAAGUUUCCAAGCCUGAACAGAAUGAUGGUGUUCCUGUCUCUGUCUCUGAUUCUAACGGGGAUUGUUUACCUGCUGAAAGUGUGGAGGAUACUGUUUCAGAAGUUUCCAAGCCUGAACAGAAUGAGUCCUCUAACAUAGUUGAGGCUGAAGCUGAUUGUCAUGGUCCUGUCUCUAAUGGUAAUGGAGACAGGACUGAACAAAAUGGGUUCUCUGAAAUG